rnacentral:rRNA from 1 species
UACGAAGGGGGCUAGCGUUGCUCGGAAUCACUGGGCGUAAAGGGUGCGUAGGCGGGUUUUAAGUCAGAGGUGAAAUCCUGGAGCUCAACUCCAGAACUGCCUUUGAUACUGAGGAUCUUGAGUUCGGGAGAGGUGAGUGGAACUGCGAGUGUAGAGGUGAAAUUCGUAGAUAUUCGCAAGAACACCAGUGGCGAAGGCGGCUCACUGGCCCGAUACUGACGCUGAGGCACGAAAGCGUGGGGAGCAAACAGG